rnacentral:sRNA from 1 species
CAUGAUGCCGCGAUGAUCAUCUUCGGGAAGGCGCGCCCACUUUCACGCCACCUCAUCGGCGCU